rnacentral:rRNA from 1 species
CAGCGAAGUCGUGAGGCGGAGCAAAUACUCGAAAACCGGUCCCAGUUCGGACUGCAGGCUGCAACUCGCCUGCACGAAGCCGGAGUUGCUAGUAAUCGCGGAUCAGAAUGCCGCGGUGAAUGCGUUCCCGGGUCUUGUACACACCGCCCGUCACACCACGAGAGUUUACAACACCCGAAGUCAGUGGCCUAACCGCAAGGAGGGAGCUGCCUAAGGUGGGGUAGAUGAUUGGGGUGAAGUCGUAACAAGGUACC